GACAGAGGGACAGCGACAGAGGGACAGAGGGACAGCGGGGACAGCCAUGGGACCGACAGCGCCGCUCCCGGCGCUCGCCGUUGUCACCGCUCUGCUGGCGGCCACCGCCGCGGCGCCAGGUGCCGCGGCUCCCCUGGAGGUGGCGCUGGCGGCGGAGGGACCGAGCCCGGACCCCCCCGGUCCCGCCCGGCUGGAGGCGUCGGGAGAGAGUGA